GGCUCGCUCUGAGUUUAUGCGUUCAGGCACUAUGGCGCCUGCCUAGUCCUCUCUCGGGGCGGGGCCGGGCCGGCUAUGUCCACGGUGCUUCUCUGUGGGCCACGCGUGAUCUAACUGCUCAUCUGGACCGCGCCAGGAGGCUCCCGACACUGCGGCUCCCCUUGCCUCUUUCCCACCACCCUUCCUGCUGCCUGGCCCGUGCCUGUCAUCCCAUAUGGUGCCUCUCCCUGAGCUCGGGGAGCCAAGCCGCCGCCGAGCCGAGACUCCGCGGUUGUGGCUCUGAGGUUUCCCACGAUAGAAACCUUUUUUUGUGUAGCUUGGGUCCCCGCGCAACUUAGGGUGGUCUCGACCCCAGUCAGGUCCGGCUGUGCCUCGAGGUUUGGCCAUCCCCCCGCCUCGGGGCUCAGUCGCCACGUAGGGCCACCCCGUCCAGCCCAGCCCGGUCUGUAAAGGCCAGGCUGGUUGGUGACUGUGACUCCCUGCAGGUGCACCCGAGGAGGCAACAGUGUUUUAUUUACUAACAAUUUAUGUUCGGAAGAGGAGCCCGGACUUUUUCUUUCCUAGACACUCUUCCAUUAUUUAAAAGAAAAAAAAAACUUCUUUUUUUGGUAAAAGUUUCGACUGAGAGUUGAAAUCAUCCCAGAGUCCAACUAAUAAUAUAGAAAUACCUGUUCCACCUUCCCAGGGCUUCUGAGAGCAGCAGCCUGGCUUAGUCAGCAGCUGCCUGGUUUCCUGGAUGGGGAGAAAGAGCAGUGUUGUGGAAGAAGGGCUGCCCUUUGUUCUACGCCAGUAGAAUUUGUAACAAGGUUAAAAUGGAAAGAUCAAUUUUAUUUUGCCCAAAUCCAAGGUUAUUUCCCCAUGACUUAAAAGCUCUGUAAAGCUAAUUGACCAUGUCCGUGAGGGAGACUAAAGACAAGAUGCAGAACUGAAAGA
rnacentral:lncRNA from 1 species